ACCUACAAGCGGUGGAUCACUCG
rnacentral:rRNA from 1 species